CAACAGGGAUUGCCCUAGUAACGGCGAGUGAAGCGGCAACAGCUCAAAUUUGAAAUCUGGCUCUUUCAGAGUCCGAGUUGUAAUUUGCAGAGGGCGCUUUGGCUUUGGCAGCGGUCCAAGUUCCUUGGAACAGGACGUCACAGAGGGUGAGAAUCCCGUACGUGGUCGCUAGCUAUUGCCGUGUAAAGCCCCUUCGACGAGUCGAGUUGUUUGGGAAUGCAGCUCUAAAUGGGAGGUAAAUUUCUUCUAAAGCUAAAUAUUGGCCAGAGACCGAUAGCGCACAAGUAGAGUGAUCGAAAGAUGAAAAGCACUUUGGAAAGAGAGUCAAACAGCACGUGAAAUUGUUGAAAGGGAAGCGCUUGCAGCCAGACUUGCUUGCAGUUGCUCAUCCGGGCUUUUGCCCGGUGCACUCUUCUGUAGGCAGGCCAGCAUCAGUUUGGGCGGUGGGAUAAAGGUCUCUGUCACGUACCUCCUUUCGAGGAGGCCUUAUAGGGGAGACGACAUACCACCAGCCUGGACUGAGGUCCGCGCAUCUGCUAGGAUGCUGGCGUAAUGGCUGUAAGCGGCCCGUCUUGAAACACGGACCAAGGAGUCUAACAUCUAUGCGAGUGUUUGGGUGUCAAGCCCGAGCGCGUAAUGAAAGUGAACGGAGGUGGGAACCCGCAAGGGCGCACCAUCGACCGAUCCUGAAGUUUACGGAAGGAUUUGAGUAAGAGCAUGGCUGUUGGGACCCGAAAGAUGGUGAACUAUGCUUGAAUAGGGUGAAGCCAGAGGAAACUCUGGUGGAGGCUCGCAGCGGUUCUGACGUGCAAAUCGAUCGUCAAAUUUGGGCAUAGGGGCGAAAGACUAAUCGAACU
rnacentral:rRNA from 1 species